CCUACGGGUGGCAGCAGUAGGGAAUCUUCCACAAUGGGCGAAAGCCUGAUGGAGCAACGCCGCGUGCAGGAUGAAGGCUUUCGGGUUGUAAACUGCUUUUAUAAGCGAGAAAUAUGAUGGUAACUUAUGAAUAAGGAUCGGCUAACUACGUUCCAGCAGCCGCGGUCAUAAGUAGGAUCCGACCAGUAGCCGGAUUAACUGGGUGUAAAAAGUUGCGUAGGUGGCUUAAUAAGUAGCUAGAGAAAUCUGGUGGCGCAAAAAUACAGUCUAUUAUGUAAAAUGUGAAACUUGAGAGCUAGAGGGGAGAGUGGAAUUCCAUGUGUAGGGGUGAAAUGCGUAGAUAUAUGGAGGAACACC
rnacentral:rRNA from 1 species